rnacentral:rRNA from 1 species
GAAACUACAAAUAGAAUUAGACGGGGGCCCGGCACAAGCGGAGGAGCAUGUGGUUUAAUUUCGAUGAUACGCGAGGAACCUUACCUGGGCUUAAAUGCUUAAUGACGUACUGGGAAACUGGUAUUUCUUCGGACAUUUUGCAAGGUGCUGCAUGGUUGUCGUCAGCUCGUGCCGUGAGGUGUCGGGUUAAGUCCCAUAACGAGCGCAACCCCUAUUGUUAGUUGCCAUCAGGUCAUGCUGGGGACUCUAACAAAACUGCCCGCGUAAGCGUGGAGGAAGGUGGGGAUGACGUCAAAUCAGCACGGCCCUUACGUCCAGGGCUACACACGUGCUACAAUGGCCGGUACAGAGGGCAGCCACUUGGUGACAAGGAGCAAAUCUCAAAAGCCGGUCUCAGUUCGGAUCGGAGUCUGCAACUCGACUCCGUGAAGUUGGAUUCGCUAGUAAUCGUAGAUCAGCAAUGCUACGGUGAAUACGUUCCCGGGCCUU